UACGUAGGGUGCGAGCGUUAAUCGGAAUUACUGGGCGUAAAGCGUGCGCAGGCGGCUUUGCAAGACAGAUGUGAAAUCCCCGGGCUCAACCUGGGAACUGCAUUUGUGACUGCAAGGCUAGAGUACGGCAGAGGGGGAUGGAAUUCCGCGUGUAGCAGUGAAAUGCGUAGAUAUGCGGAGGAACACCAGUGGCGAAGGCAAUCCCCUGGGCCUGUACUGACGCUCAUGCACGAAAGCCUGGGGAGCAAACAGG
rnacentral:rRNA from 1 species